CCUACGGGAGGCAGCAGUGGGGAAUCUUGCGCAAUGGGCGAAAGCCUGACGCAGCAACGCCGCGUGCGGGAAGAAGGCUUUCGGGCUGUAAACCGCUUUCAGCAGGAACGAAAAUGACGGUACCUGCAGAAGAAGGAGCGGCCAACUAUGUGCCAGCAGCCGCGGUGAUACAUAGGCUUCAAGCGUUGUCCGGAUUUAUUGGGCGUAAAGAGUUCGUAGGCGGUCGAGUAAGUCGGGUGUGAAAAUUCUGGGCUCAACCCAGAGACGCCACCCGAUACUGCUUGACUUGAGUUCGAUAGGGGAGUGGGGAAUUCCUAGUGUAGCGGUGAAAUGCGCAGAUAUUAGGAGGAACACCGGUGGCGAAGGCGCCACUCUGGAUCGAUACUGACGCUGAGGAACGAAAGCAUGGGUAGCAAACAGGAUUAGAUACCCUGGUAGUCCAUGCCGUAAACGGUGGGCACUAGGUGUGGGUUUCUAUUAACGAAAUCCGCGCCGUCGCUAACGCAUUAAGUGCCCCGCCUGGGGAGUACGGUCGCAAGACUAAAACUUAAAAGGAAUUGAACGG
rnacentral:rRNA from 1 species